rnacentral:tRNA from 2 species
UGGGGUAUAGCCAAGUGGCAAGGCACCGGUUUUUGAUACCGGCAUCCCUGGUUCGAAUCCAGGUACCCCAG